CUUGCCUACGGGGGGCAGCAGUGGGGAAUAUUGCACAAUGGGGGAAACCCUGAUGCAGCGACGCCGCGUGAGUGAAGAAGUAUUUCGGUACGUAAAGCUCUAUCAGCAGGGAAGAAAAAAAGUCCUUUGGACUUUGGACGGUACCUGACCAAGAAGCCCCGGCUAACUACGUGCCAGCAGCCGCGGUAAUACGUAGGGGGCAAGCGUUAUCCGGAAUGAUUGGGCGUAAAGGGUGCGCAGGCGGUCCUGCAAGUCUGGAGUGAAACGCAUGAGCUCAACUCAUGCAUGGCUUUGGAAACUGGAGG
rnacentral:rRNA from 1 species